rnacentral:rRNA from 1 species
UUACAUCAGCAGGCAUCUACGUGAUAGAGUGUGGAUGGCGCCAUCCAUGGCCAGGCGCCCCCCUGGAUAUCCUCCAAAACCUAGUGGCUAAUACACGGUUGCAACAGUCUGCUACGACUCGGUCCUCGCCAGGCUCUCCAGCCUGCCUUCGCCGGCAGUGGAUUGCGCCCAGCCGUCUGGUAAGACCAGUGCCUGGGACAAUGGCAGCGUGUUCGUGGCUGACUCAGGCUGGUCCCUAUCUUCCCCUUGUGGGUUGCGUGGACGCCAGCGCUGGCAGAGUGGCAGCCUUGGCUGCAGCAUUGCUUGAUCGCACGAGCUUCUGACCUAUCAGCCUCGAUGGUGGUGUAGAGGCCCACCAUGGCGGUGACGGGUAACGGAGAAUCAGGGUUCGAUUCCGGAGAGGGAGCCUGAGAGACGGCUACCACUUCUAAGGAGGGCAGCAGGCACGCAAAUUGCCCCAUGCUGACACAGUCUGGUGAGGCAGCGACGAACUGCAGCAACUCUGCCUGUCCUCAGUGACCAGCAGAGCUUGGAAUGGAUGCAAUCCAAACACAGUGAUGAGUAUCAACUGGAGGGCAAGUCUGGUGCCAGCAGCUGCGGUAAUUCCAGCUCCAAGGGCGUAUACUAACAUUGCUGCUGUUAAAACGCUUGUAGUCUGAUGCUGGGUCGUAGGUCUGCUGGGUGGCAGCUGGGGUUGCGCUCGUGGGUUUGCUUCCUCGCGCAGUCGGGUUCGCCUGGCUGUGUGGGUGGGGUGGGCCUGCGACGUGGCCUCGCUGGUACAACCCCUGGCAGUAUGCUCCUACGCCCGAGUUUCUGCGAUGGUGCGAAUUGCCCCUGCUCCACGUCCCCUUCAGUGUGGGAUCGCUGCGGUUGCAUACCCAACGCUUGUGUGUUGACAUCCAUCAGGGGGCACAGCCUGGUGCUGCGCAUCUACCCCUGGUCCACCACCGGGGUCCACCGUCACUGCCACCGUGAAAAACUCAGUGUGCUCAAGGCAACCGUCACUGGCUGGAUGUUCGUUCAUGGCAUGGCAAAGCAUCGAUCAGAUGUGGCUAUAGAGUUGUGCUGGCCUUGGUGCUCGUUCUGAGGAACCUGGCGUCGUCCACAGGCGGGCCACGUGGUCUGGUGGUCUCUGGCGAGGGGAUUCGUCUCUUCACCAUGCCCCUCUCUGCGUGCCCCUGGCGGGCUUCGUCGAUCGCCUGCGAGGGCACUGCUCGAGGUGAAAGAUAUUGCAACGCCAGAGGUGAAAUUCUUAGAUCGCUGCAAGAUGACCCGCAGCGAAGGCGUUCUGCAAGUGCUCGUGCGUCGAUCAAGAACGUGAGUGUGGGGAGCGAAGAUGAUCAGACACCGUCGUAGUCCACAACUGUAAACGAUGCCAGCUCGGUGUUGGUGGUGAAAGUACACAGACACCAUCAGCGCCAUGCCCCCUGCAACGAGAAAUCCAAGCCUGUGGGUUCAGGGGGGAGUACUGUCGCAAGGCUGAAACUUAAAGGAAUUGACGGAAUGGCACCACAAGGCGUGGAGUAUGCGGCUUAAUUUGACUCAACACGGGGAAUGUUACCAGGUCAGGACGUUGCCAGGAUGGACAGAUUGAAAGCUCUUUCUUGAUCCUUCGGAUGGUGGUGCAUGGCCGCUCCUGAUUGGUGGAGUGAUUUGUCUGGUUGAUUCCGAUAACGAGUGAGACAUCUGCCUCCCAGUAGCCCCAGUCUCGCAUUUGGUAGGGCGACCACAGGCAGCCCCAUGGGCUGGGGGGCAACCUUCGGUUCGUGGGUCGCCAGUGGCUCGCCUGAGAGGCCCGUCGGGCCCAGCUUCUCUGAGGUGCUGUGUACGCCACCAAGUGCAUGCAUGCUAGAGCCAACAGCAGGUCUGUGAUGCUCCCAGAUGUCCUGGGCCGCACGCGCACUACAUUGACCCAGUGAAUAUGUGCUACGCUCGCCUGUCGAGACCUGUUUGGAAGUGAAUGGGGAACCCUUGGAGCCUGUGAUUGGUCGUACUGGGGAUAGAUGAUUGCAACUGUCUGCCUUGAACGAGGAAUGCCUAGUAGGCGUGGGUCAUCAGCCCACGUCGAUUGUGUCCCUGCC